rnacentral:lncRNA from 1 species
AUUGAUUCAUGAAAACAUGGACAUGGAAUUUUCGAAACUUCGUAGAUAUACAUACGUAAGUAAUUGUAAGAAGAACGGUUCGUGUAUUACUCGAUAGGGUGUGUAUACGGCGUACACAGAACGAUGUUAGACGUUUGAUUAAUAGCGUCAGCGCUGAUUGGUCACGCUACUAAUAAAGGAGCGUUCACACGUAUUAAAAGUUCGCGCCUCUGCGUCCACGCCGGUGUGCUCAGCGUCUUCGGUCAUUGUAGUCUAGUGUUGGCACGAUAUAACGAGGGAAUGGCGUGUCUUGCUCAUAAUUGAACCGAGCACCUACAAUCCAAUCGUUCUUAAUCAUUCGAAUUCAUCUCGCUUGCAAGUUUCAUUCUCCUUUAUUAUUCGUUGUCUUACCAACCUGCGAAACUUAUCCGAAAUCCAUAUUCCUUUUUUGCUAAUAACCGUUAUGGACAUUUUUUUGAUUAUUCUUGAAUAUUCAAAUAGAUUAUUCCAACAUGAUUGUUCGACAAGGGUCGAAGGACGGUUGCUUUGAAAGGAUAUUCAUUAUGUCCCUGAAAGUGCGGAGUCUUCGUAACAGCUUUUAAAAGGUGACAAAAUCCCCUUAGAGCACGGUUCGCAAGGGUAGGCUAAAUUACAAUUAAUUAAUUGACUUCGACUCCCUGUAAUUCAUGCGUUGAUGAUUAUUAUUUUUCAUUUGAUCAAUUAAAGGAAUUUGAGGCGAGAUGAAUAUAAUGAAUUGGGAAAAUAAUUUGAAGAAUUGAUUAUUUGAGGAACAUUCAGAAUAAGUAUUGAACAAUGAAUAAGGUAUAUUCUAAAAUUUAUAAAUUAUAUAUUUAUCGAAAAAUAAAAAGCUUCUU